rnacentral:lncRNA from 1 species
UAUUAGUUUGUUUCUGUAAGAUAUUGGUAAAAUAGACUAAUAGUCCAUAGAAUAGUCAGUUCAAGAGAACGGAUAGUUAACUUAGUUAUUAAAAGUUAUUAAUUACAGGAUUACAAUUAGAAUCUGGAAAUAGAGAGUAAGUAUAUAGGAGUUCUAGAAGUUAGUCUGAGUACUAGACUGUGAUAGUCAUGAGCUGGGGUUAAGCUUGGUCCUACUUCUUUGUUUCUGUGUUUCUUUGUUCUUGAAAAGUAAUGUAUAAUUUUUGAAUACUAAAAAGUGAGUCUAUAAAAUAAAUCAAAGAUUGAUUUAUGAGUUAUUGAUUAUGUAAUUGGAGCAUUGAGUGAUGGAAUUAUAUGAGGAAUUAUUGAAAGAUUAUGAUUGUUGUUUAUUGAGAGGUGUGUGUGUUUUGGAUAGAGGAAGUCUAUGAUUACAGAAAUUAUUUGAAUUUAGAUUAGUUGGAGUGAAGUUUGUUAAUUCUGGUGUUGGAUGGAAAUUAUUUUUUUUGAGCAGUCUUAUGAGAGUGCAAGGUUGCACACUGUUGUUAUCAGUUGAUGAAGGAGUAUUGUAGCUGGUAGAAAGCAUUGUAGUUAUUUUUAGUGUUUUAGUGAUUCAAAAUAUGAUUAAUUGUAUGACCCUAAUAAAUAAACUCUUUGUCGUACUAUAAAUGCUUAUUGUAUGUAAAAAUUAGUUAAAACAUAUUAUAUGUCA